rnacentral:rRNA from 1 species
UUUAUAAAUAACUUGUUUAAAUUUAUUAAAGAUUUAAUUUUUAGGAAAAAUAAUUUAUACAAUAUUAAGUUAGUAAAGUUUAUUGAAUUUUUGUUAUUCACUAUAGUUUAAGAGUACUGUAAAGGAAAAUAAAUAAAAUUUAUGAUAGUAAAUUUUAAAGUUUGUACCUUGUGUAUCAGGGAAAAUUUAUUUAAAUUAAAAAGGUUAUAGGUCUCGAAAUAAAAUAUAGCUAAUUUUAUAAAAAAAUUUUUGUGAAAGAUAAAUUUUUAAUAUAGAAUUAAAGGUGAAAUGCUAGUCGAGUUUUAUUAUAUCUAGUUUUUUAAAAACAAAUUUAAUUUAAAUUUUAUGUCUAUAAGUAUAAAAUUUAAAUGUAGGAGGGAUUAGCUUCUUAUAAAUUUAGUUAAGAAAGAGUUAUUAAAUUAUAAUUAUUGAAUUAAGCUUAAAAAUAGCUAUAUUCACAAAGUGUUUUAAUUGAAUUAAGAUUAAAAAAUAUUUAUAAAAACUUUUUUUAGUAUUAAAAAAUUAAUUUUAAUAAAAUAAAUUAAGUUAUAAUGAUUUUAUUAGUAAAGCUUUAUAUGAAGAAUUUUAUUUAAAUAAAAAUAAUAAUAUAAAAUUUAAAAAAUAAUAUAAAGGAACUCGGCAAAAUAAUUUCUUUGCCUGUUUAUCAAAAACAUGUCUGUUUGGAGUUAUAAAAAGUUUAGCCUGCCCACUGAUAAAUAAAAAGUUAAAUGGCCGCGGUAUUUUGACCGUGCAAAGGUAGCAUAAUCGUUAGUUUUUUAAUUGAAAUCUUGUAUGAAUGGUUGGACAAGGGAAAAUCUGUCUUUAUAUUAUUUAUUGAAUUUAACUUUUAAGUGAAAAGGCUUAAAUAAAUUAAAGGGACGAUAAGACCCUAUAAAGCUUUAUAUUAAUAAUUAUUUAAUUAAAUUUAUAUUAUAACAAUUUAGUAAUAAAAUUUAUUUUAUUGGGGUGAUAAAAGUAAAAUGAUUACUAACUGCUUAAUUUAAAACACAUUUAUAUAUGAUUAAUUUUAAAUGAUCCUAAUUAAAGAUUUAAAGUUUAAGUUACUUUAGGGAUAACAGCGUUAUUUUUUUUGAGAGUACUUAUCGAAAAAAAAGUUUGCGACCUCGAUGUUGAAUUAAAAUAUCUU